CAUUCCCUGAGGCACUCUAGAUCAUAAGUAGCCCGAAGGUCACUGAGUGUCCACCUCCUGUCCCUCUGGGCACAGAGGCCUAGGCACUGGCAACUGUGUGAAGAGAGCGAGCCUUGUUCUCUCCCGGCUGGCUGCUCCCCGGUCCUUCCAGAUCCUCCACGGGCCUGUUUCCCAGUCUCCACACCGGCUACUGUCUUCUGGGCAGCUCCCGUGGGGCUGUGUCCCCUCACCAAGGCCCAGGUCCUGCGCUCACCCCGAGAGCCGCACGCCUUUGCAGUGUGGACUUUGCCCUGUUCCGAGUGCAGGAAGAAGCUGUAGUCCGCUGGGCCUGCAGACGGGCGGGCUCCUCGGGCUCCACUGGGUAGGAGUGGUGCCGGGCCUGAGACUGUGCUCAAACAGAGCUCCACCCUUCCGGGCUCCCGUGGACUUCUGUAAGCGAAGCAUUUGGCCAGGGCUAGUGUGGGGUCGCUGCCACUUGGGACGUUUGCGCUGUUCCAAGCAAUGCAGUCAGCCCGCAUUUUUCUCUCCUCUUUGGAUAGUUCAGUCUUUGUGGAGCUCAGCAGCGCCCCGUGCCACGCCUUCCAAAGCUGGGGGAGGGGAGGGCUUCAGAUGUCAGGCUUCAGCCUGGUGACCCUGAGCUCCAGCCUGCUGUCUAAGUGAGUCAGAUGGGGCGGGGGUGGGAUGGCGCUGGAGGACAGUUGUCGGCCCCAGCCUUGGUCUCAGAUCAGGAGCUCUUUACGGGAGACCCACUCCGCUCACUGGUCUACCUGCAAGCUCGCUGGGGCAGCUUUGGAGGGUGCAGAAGAGGAGCAGGAACAGAACUGCCCCGUGGCCCUCUGCACAGCGACAGCUUGAGCCCCUGUUCAGAAAGACUCCUCCAGGCUCUCGGCGGUCAUGGCCAGCAGACGUCCCCACAGUGGACCAUCGCGCUUAGCGCAGUGACGAUUCGUCCAGUCU
rnacentral:lncRNA from 1 species